rnacentral:rRNA from 1 species
AACGAACGCUGGCGGCAGGCCUCAAACAUGCAAGUCUAGGGGGUGCAGCAAUGCAUCACCGGCGGACGGGUGCGUAACGCGUGGGAAUAUACCUAUUGGUUCGGAACAACUGCGGGAAACUGCAGCUAAUACCGAAUGUGCCCUAACGGGGAAAGAUUUAUCGCCAAUGGAUUAGCCCGCGUAGGAUUAGCUAGUUGGUGGGGUAAUGGCUCACCAAGGCUCCGAUCCUUAGCUGUUCUGAGAGGAAGAUCAGCCACACUGGGACUGAGACACGGCCCAGACUCCUACGGGAGGCAGCAGUUGGGAAUCUUGGACAAUGGGGGAAACCCUGAUCCAGCCAUGCCGCGUGAGUGAUGAAGGCCUU